UACGAAGGGGGCUAGCGUUGCUCGGAAUUACUGGGCGUAAAGCGCACGUAGGCGGCUUUCUAAGUCGGGGGUGAAAUCCUGGAGCUCAACUCCAGAACUGCCUUCGAUACUGGAGAGCUCGAGUCCGGGAGAGGUGAGUGGAACUGCGAGUGUAGAGGUGAAAUUCGUAGAUAUUCGCAAGAACACCAGUGGCGAAGGCGGCUCACUGGCCCGAUACUGACGCUGAGGCGCGAAAGCUAGGGGAGCGAACGGG
rnacentral:rRNA from 1 species